GACGAACGCGGCGGCGUGCCUAAUACAUGCAAGUAGAACGCUGAAGCUUGGUGCUUGCACCGAGCGGAUGAGUUGCGAACGGGUGAGUAACGCGUAGGUAACCUGCCUGGUAGCGGGGGAUAACUAUUGGAAACGAUAGCUAAUACCGCAUAAGAGUAGAUGUUGCAUGACAUUUGCUUAAAAGGUGCAAUUGCAUCACUACCAGAUGGACCUGCGUUGUAUUAGCUAGUUGGUGAGGUAACGGCUCACCAAGGCAACGAUACAUAGCCGACCUGAGAGGGUGAUCGGCCACACUGGGACUGAGACACGGCCCAGACUCCUACGGGAGGCAGCAGUAGGGAAUCUUCGGCAAUGGACGGAAGUCUGACCGAGCAACGCCGCGUGAGUGAAGAAGGUUUUCGGAUCGUAAAGCUCUGUUGUAAGAGAAGAACGAGUGUGAGAGUGAAAAGUUCACACUGCGACGG
rnacentral:rRNA from 1 species